rnacentral:tRNA from 1 species
CGGGGUAUGGCGCAGCCUCGUAGCGCAUCUGCUUUGGGAGCAGAGGGUCGCGAGUUCGAAUCCCGCCGCUCCGACCA